GACGUAGGGCGCGAGCGUUGUCCGGAUUUAUUGGGCGUAAAGAGCUCGUAGGCGGCUCGUUGCGUCGGCUGUGAAAACCCGCAGCUUAACUGUGGGCUUGCAGCUGAUACGGGCGGGCUUGGAUUCGGUAGGGGAGACUGGAAUUCCUGGUGUAGCGGUGAAAUGCGCAGAUAUCAGGAGGAACACCGGUGGCGAAGGCGGGUCUCUGGUCCGGUACUGACGCUGAGGUGCGAAAGCGUGGGGAGCAAACAGG
rnacentral:rRNA from 1 species